UACAGAGGUCUCAAGCGUUGUUCGGAUUCAUUGGGCGUAAAGGGUGUGUAGGUGGCGCCGUAAGUCAGGUGUGAAAUCUCGGGGCUUAACUCCGAAACUGCAUUUGAUACUGCGGUGCUUGAGGACUGGAGAGGAGACUGGAAUUUAUGGUGUAGCAGUGAAAUGCGUAGAUAUCAUAAGGAAGACCAGUGGCGAAGGCGGGUCUCUGGACAGUUCCUGACGCUGAGGCACGAAGGUCAGGGGAGCAAACGGG
rnacentral:rRNA from 1 species